rnacentral:misc_RNA from 1 species
GUAGGUGAACCUGCGGAAGGAUCAUUAUCACGUAUAUCCACGUUAUAAACCCUUCUUUGAAAUGUUUUUAACACAAAUUCUGGUAAACGAAGUGGGCAAUGGGCCUAUUAAAUGGACUUGCUAGGUGCGCCCUGCAUGAAAUGGGUUACUAUUGUAAUUUGAAACCCAGACCAUUUUACUAGCUAGGUGUGUUGUUCGCUGACACUGUGUGUGUUGGCGAAGCAGCAAUCCUAUUCAUUUUUCCUUCAAUUUUGCCGCAUCUCGCUUGCGAGUUAUGGUAGAUUGGACGAGGUGAACCGCCAUCAGUUCAAACUCCAGAAUGUAUUCAAAUUACAUUAUUGAUUAACAAUUUUAACCCCUUUUGAUAAAUUGAACUAACGCAGUUUUUACUCCAAUAAAACGGAGACUAACUAAUUACGAAACAAAGAACAACUCUUAGCAACGGAUAUCUUGGUUCUC